UAUAGAUGGAUCCGCGCUGCAUUAGCUAGUUGGUAAGGUAACGGCUUACCAAGGCAACGAUGCAUAGCCGACCUGAGAGGGUGAUCGGCCACACUGGAACUGAGACACGGUCCAGACUCCUACGGGAGGCAGCAGUAGGGAAUCUUCCGCAAUGGGCGAAAGCCUGACGGAGCAACGCCGCGUGAGUGAUGAAGGUCUUCGGAUCGUAAAACUCUGUUAUUAGGGAAGAACAUAUGUGUAAGUAACUGUGCACAUCUUGACGGUACCUAAUCAGAAAGCCACGGCUAACUACGUGCCAGCAGCCGCGGUAAUACGUAGGUGGCAAGCGUUAUCCGGAAUUAUUGGGCGUAAAGCGCGCGUAGGCGGUUUUUUAAGUCUGAUGUGAAAGCCCACGGCUCAACCGUGGAGGGUCAUUGGAAACUGGAAAACUUGAGUGCAGAAGAGGAAAGUGGAAUUCCAUGUGUAGCGGUGAAAUGCGCAGAGAUAUGGAGGAACACCAGUGGCGAAGGCGACUUUCUGGUCUGUAACUGACGCUGAUGUGCGAAAGCGUGGGGAUCAAACAGGAUUAGAUACCCUGGUAGUCCACGCCGUAAACGAUGAGUGCUAAGUGUUAGGGGGUUUCCGCCCCUUAGUGCUGCAGCUAACGCAUUAAGCACUCCGCCUGGGGAGUACGACCGCAAGGUUGAAACUCAAAGGAAUUGACGGGGACCCGCACAAGCGGUGGAGCA
rnacentral:rRNA from 1 species